rnacentral:misc_RNA from 1 species
UCCCUUCUCUCCUUCUUUUUCCUUUCAUCUUUCACUUUCAUCCUCUCCUCUUUUCCCGCAAAUUGCACUCCCUGGUAUUCCGGGGAGUAUGCCUGUUUGAGGGUCGCCAAAUAAACAUCGAUUCCCGUUGCUUUUUGAAGUGAAUGUUUAUCGGAUUUGAGCUUUCUUUAUCCUUAUAAAGUGGCUUAAAAUUUAUUUUUUGGUAUCAUCGAAAGCGUAUUUUACGAUCAAUUUUUGAUUAAAAAGGACGUUUCGAAUACCAUCCUUCAAUGUAAUACGUUUGACUAUACGUAAAAAAUAUAGUUCAUUCGUAUACGAUUAAUUUUUUUUGACCUCAAAUCAGGUAAGAGUACCCGCUGAACUUAAGC